rnacentral:rRNA from 1 species
AGUGAACGCUGGCGGUAGGCCUAACACAUGCAAGUCGAACGGCAGCACAGUAAGAGCUUGCCCUUACGGGUGGCGAGUGGCGGACGGGUGAGGAAUACAUCGGAACCUACUUUUUCGUGGGGGUUAACGUAGGGAAACUUACGUUAAUACCCCAUACGACCACCGGGUGAAAGCAGGGGACUUUGGGACUUUCCCCGUUUGAUUGACCGGAUGUCGGAUUAGCUAGUUGGCGGGGUAAAGGCCCACCAAGGCGACGAUCCGUAGCUGGUCUGAGAGGAUGAUCAGCCACACUGGAACUGAGACACGGUCCAGACUCCUACGGGAGGCAGCAGUGGGGAAUAUUGGACAAUGGGCGCAAGCCUGAUCCAGCCAUACCGCGUGGGUGAAGAAGGCCUUCGGGUUGUAAAGCCCUUUUGUUGGGAAAGAAAAGCAGCAGGUUAAUACCCCGCUGUUCUGACGGUACCCAAAGAAUAAGCACCGGCUAACUUCGUG